rnacentral:lncRNA from 1 species
CAACAACAGAAAAGCUUCAUGGAAAAAGAAAGUUGCUGAGACAAAGGAAAACCCACUCCCUUGGAGGAGCAUGACCUUUUCCUGUAAUUCUUCCCACUGCUGUUGUUGAGCUCCUUGGACCAUGGCUCCUGGACACCAUCAUCAAGAAGACUUUAUGGAUGGGCUGUCCACCCACUGAGAGAAGAGGAGCAUCAGCUACAGUUUCUCUCUAGAUUGCCUUCUUCAUUUUGAGUAAUGACUGUCAGCAGGGUCAGAUUAAAGACAAAACAACUGGACAAUUGCUUGGAGGACUAAACUAUAAGGGCACUAACAUAUCAAUAGUAUGCUAACACAUCCAUGGAAAAUAUAUUUACCAGCUCUUCUCUCAGGGAGGAUUCUGUGUGGGGUUGGAAGUAAUGAUUUGUUAAAUUCCUUAGGGGUAGAAAGUAGGGCAUAAUCAGAAUAUAGAGGAAUAGGCUGUUUGACUUCAGGGUUUCUGUUUUUCUUACUAGGAUAUAUAAAACAGGGACUCUAGCUAGAUUGUUUAUGACCACAGAGGGUAGGCUGAGCGCUCUCAUGAUCUUCCUGCUUGGUUCUUGCCCAUACAGAGGUCAGCCUUUCCUCUAAUAAAGAUUGAACAAGUAGUGGUCUGAGGGAGACACCAACUCAUUACCCUACAUGUCUCUUCUCUGCACUCCAGGGCUUUGAUAAUAAAGACACUGGCAGACUAUCUAUCUUCCAUUUCUAUAAUGUGAGCCCUUAGGGAGUCUUCGUUCACUUGGGGGUGAGGGUCAUUGCUCACAGAGUAGUUCAAGUCAAAUGGAACUUGAACUCUUUGCCUAUGGGCCUGGUGGUCAGACUCUGUGUUGAGUUCAUUAGAUUAUUGGAGACACAAGGUAGAGCUGGAUGCUUCAAAAAUAUUUGGCUAAAGGAUGACAUUGCUGGUUAUUUGUAGAUAAAGCCAUGAUGGAACCUGCUUGGAAUCAUGAAAUAUGGAACUGGUGGUCAUGUUUAAAAAUACAACUAAUAGUUAAGUACCUACUGGACACUGUAGAGACUUAGGGGCUAGACAGACAUGGUUCCUGCCCCCAUGGAGCUUACACUGUAGCUUCCCCUUAGGUAUGAAGAACAGUGGCUACAACUAACAAAUGGCCACAAAGAUAUAAUUGAGCCAGUGUUCCAAUUAUUAGGGUAAUUCCUAUUUCCUUAAUCAUGCCUAUUGACCAUGUUCUAUAAGCCUGCAUUCUAUAAAUGGCCUAUGACCAUGGGCUGUUUCCCCCCAGCAAGUUGUACAAAGUUCUGUGGUACCAGGGAAAGGGCUUAAGGUUAGCAGGGCCUCUGGGGAAGGACAUAUGAAGUGACUUGGGUUAGGAAACAGGAAGGGAUAGGAUUCAAGAACAGCUAUUGCUUCUGUUCUAUAUAGGAAACUGCAGCGUGAAAAAUGCUGGGCUGGGAAUUUUGAGACCUGGGUUUUAGUUUGUGUUCUAAUACUAACAAGCUAUGUGACUGUGGUUAAGUCAUUUCACAUUCCAUUUGGAUGCCUCUUGAGUGACUCCAGGCCUCUCCAGCUCUAAAACAUUGAGAUCAGGCCCUACGCUACAGCUGGCCAGUGUGUAGUUCUUCUGUUUCUAUGCUGUUAGGUCAAAUAGAUCUUCAAUAGUUACUUGAUUGUUAUUACUUUUUUCUGAAGUGGGUGUUUUAUCAGUGUUUUAGGAUACAGUGAGUCUGCUUCUCCCCUUUGGAGUUAGGAAGGUUGUAGGAAUAUACACUGUAGAGCAUAUGGGAGCUUUAUCUCCUCCUUUUUCCCCCCCUACCUUUCUCCCUCUCCUUCCCUUCGUCACAUUUCUAUUGAGCAUAUGCCAUUGCCGUGUACCAGGUGUGUGCUAGGUUUGGAGAUACAAGGUAAACUUGAGACUUUCCCAGCCUCCAGGAGACAAAACCCUAAUUUCUUUCAUCUGCUGUCUUUCUCUUUGGAAAGAAUCAACGAUAUCCCAGGGGAAUGUGCCCAUGUCCCAGGGUAACCAACUACAGACAGAUGCCCCAUUCUACUCAAGCAACUUUUAGAGUGCCUUGAGAUACACAUCAGAUAAUUAUGCAGGGCCAGGCAUGGUGGUGCACACUUGUAAUCACAGCACUUUGGGAGGCCGAGGCAGCAGAUUGCUUGAGCCCAGGAAUUCAAGUGUAGCCUAGGGAACAUGGCAAAACCCCAGCUCUACAAAAAAAUACACAAAUUAGCUGCGUGUGGUGGCCUAUGACAGGAGGCUGAGAUGGGAGGAUUGCUUGAGCCUGUGAGGUCGAGGCUGCAGUGAGCCGAGAUCAUGCCAUUGCACUCCAGCCUGGGUGACAUAGGGAGACCCUGUCUUGAAAAAAAAAAAAAAAAAAGAUAAUUAUUCAGCCCUAGAGUCAUUGUGAAAAGAUCUAUCUUCAGAUAUAAGGAAGAAACAAUCUUUUAUUUCUUAGGAUAAAUCUGUAGAAGGACCUCCAGACAGUGAAGGCCACUGACUACUUUACACUCUGUAAGCCAUCCCUCCCUGGUAGGAAGGACUAUUUCCAAUCUUACAGAGUACCUCUCAGCAAAUAGACGUUUUCACAUAUACUGUGAUUCAUACAUCCCUAUGGCUGG